rnacentral:rRNA from 1 species
UGGGGAAUAUUGGACAAUGGGGGCAACCCUGAUCCAGCCAUGCCGCGUGAGCGAUGAAGGCCUUAGGGUUGUAAAGCUCUUUCGCCCGCGAGGAUAAUGACGGUAGCGGGAUAAGAAGCCCCGGCUAACUUCGUGCCAGCAGCCGCGGUAAUACGAAGGGGGCUAGCGUUGUUCGGAAUCACUGGGCGUAAAGCGCACGUAGGCGGAUCUUUAAGUCAGAGGUGAAAGCCUGGAGCUCAACUCCAGAACUGCCUUUGAUACUGGGGAUCUGGAGUCCGGGAGAGGUGAGUGGAAUUGCUAGUGUAGAGGUGAAAUUCGUAGAUAUUAGCAAGAACACCAGUGGCGAAGGCGGCUCACUGGCCCGGUACUGACGCUGAGGUGCGAAAGCGUGGGGAGCAAACA